UACAGAGGGUGCGAGCGUUGUCCGGAAUCACUGGGCGUAAAGGGCGCGUAGGCGGCCUGAUAAGUAGGGGGUGAAAUCUUGCGGCUCAACCGCAAGGCUGCCUUCUAAACUGUCAGGCUGGAGCACGGUAGAGGCAGAUGGAAUUCCCGGUGUAGCGGUGGAAUGCGUAGAGAUCGGGAAGAACACCGGAGGCGAAGGCGGCUUGCUGGGCGUGAUCUGACGCUGAGGCGCGAAAGCGUGGGGAGCAAACAGG
rnacentral:rRNA from 1 species